GCUGGGCAUGGUGGCUCGUGCUUGUAAUCCCAGCACUUGGGAGGCCAAGGCAGGAGGAUUGCUUGAGGCCAGGAGUUCAAGACCAGCCUGAGCGACAUAGUGAGACCUUAUCUCCACUAAAAAUUUAAAAAUUAGCCAGGUGUGGUGAGUCCUAGUUAUUCAGGAGGCUGAGGCAGGAGGAUCACUGGAGCCCAGGAGUUUGAGGAUGCAGUGAGCUAUGAUCAAGUCACCUGUACUCCAGCCUGGGCAAGACAGCAAGACCCUGUCUCA
rnacentral:sRNA from 1 species